AACCAUCAGGUAUGUUUUUCAAACCUUUUUCUUUUUAUUUUAUAUUCUUUUAUAAAAAAACAGAUUUAAAAAAAGAAAAAAAGUGAGGAUCACCUUUUGAAAUUUUGUAUUGUCUAUUUUUCGAUUUCUUUUUUUUUGUCCCUCAAGAUUACAUUUUAAUCCGGCCUUCAUAGCUGAUUUUUACAUAUUAUUUUUAUUUAUUUCUCUGAUGUUUUCUAUUGCGUGUUUGUUCUUCUUUGGAAGUGACGGUGGCAGAGAGCGAAGUCAACGGUGGUGGUGGCAGAGGGGUGUCAAACGGCACGUCUGUCGACGUGGAGAAGCGGCGCAAGGGAGGCUAGGAUUUCUUUUGUUUUAUUGAAAAUGUUUGCGCUUUUGGGCCAUUUGGACAAUUAGGGUUUUAAUUUUUUUGGGCUUUGUAAUUUAGGUAAUAGGUUUUGCUUAUUUUUAUUUUCAUCUGUUUUUUUUUUGGAUGAUUGGUUUGGUUUCUUUGGGCUGAUUGGUUUGGUUUCUUUGGGCCCAGAUAGAAUUGAGCCCUUGCAUUGACUAAUUUAUUAUUUUUCGAAAGUUUAGUGACAGAGUUAAAAGUUGAAUGAUUGUUUUAUCAUUAAAAUCAAUGUUACAUAAUUGUUGGUUUAUUUUACUCAAAACUUUAUUUACUAUAUAUUUCUUCUAUACUUUUUAUGCAAU
rnacentral:lncRNA from 1 species